GAGGAGUGGUUUCAAAUAAUGCGGAGCAUUAUUUCUUUCAAUGAACCCGACGAGUUGCCGCCGAAGCUUCAGCUGAGGGGGCGGUACCUUGG
rnacentral:sRNA from 1 species